rnacentral:rRNA from 1 species
AUGAACGCUAGCUACAGGCUUAACACAUGCAAGUCGAGGGGCAGCAUGGUCUUAGCUUGCUAAGGCUGAUGGCGACCGGCGCACGGGUGAGUAACACGUAUCCAACCUGCCGUCUACUCUUGGCCAGCCUUCUGAAAGGAAGAUUAAUCCAGGAUGGGAUCAUGAGUUCACAUGUCCGCAUGAUUAAAGGUAUUUUCCGGUAGACGAUGGGGAUGCGUUCCAUUAGAUAGUAGGCGGGGUAACGGCCCACCUAGUCAACGAUGGAUAGGGGUUCUGAGAGGAAGGUCCCCCACAUUGGAACUGAGACACGGUCCAAACUCCUACGGGAGGCAGCAGUGAGGAAUAUUGGUCAAUGGGCGAUGGCCUGAACCAGCCAAGUAGCGUGAAGGAUGACUGCCCUAUGGGUUGUAAACUUCUUUUAUAAAGGAAUAAAGUCGGGUAUGCAUACCCGUUUGCAUGUACUUUAUGAAUAAGGAUCGGCUAACUCCGUGCCAGCAGCCGCGGUAAUACGGAGGAUCCGAGCGUUAUCCGGAUUUAUUGGGUUUAAAGGGAGCGUAGAUGGAUGUUUAAGUCAGUUGUGAAAGUUUGCGGCUCAACCGUAAAAUUGCAGUUGAUACUGGAUGUCUUGAGUGCAGUUGAGGCAGGCGGAAUUCGUGGUGUAGCGGUGAAAUGCUUAGAUAUCACGAAGAACUCCGAUUGCGAAGGCAGCCUGCUAAGCUGCAACUGACAUUGAGGCUCGAAAGUGUGGGUAUCAAACAGGAUUAGAUACCCUGGUAGUCCACGCCGUAAACGAUGAGAACUAAGUGUUGGGGAAACUCAGUGCUGCAGUUAACGCAAUAAGUUCUCCGCCUGGGGAGUAUGCACGCAAGUGUGAAACUCAAAGGAAUUGACGGGGGCCCGCACAAGCGGUGGAGUAUGUGGUUUAAUUCGAAGCAACGCGAAGAACCUUACCAGGUCUUGACAUCCUACUAACGAGAUAGAGAUAUGUUAGGUGCCCUUCGGGGAAAGUAGAGACAGGUGGUGCAUGGUUGUCGUCAGCUCGUGUCGUGAGAUGUUGGGUUAAGUCCCGCAACGAGCGCAACCCUUGCCUUUAGUUGCCAGCAUUAAGUUGGGCACUCUAGAGGGACUGCCAGGGAUAACCUGGAGGAAGGUGGGGAUGACGUCAAAUCAGCACGGCCCUUACGUCCGGGGCUACACACGUGUUACAAUGGGGGGUACAGAGGGCCGCUACCACGCGAGUGGAUGCCAAUCCCUAAAACCCCUCUCAGUUCGGACUGGAGUCUGCAACCCGACUCCACGAAGCUGGAUUCGCUAGUAAUCGCGCAUCAGCCACGGCGCGGUGAAUACGUUCCCGGGCCUUGUACACACCGCCCGUCAAGCCAUGGGAGCCGGGGGUACCUGAAGUGCGUAACCGCGAGGAUCGCCCUAGGGUAAAACUGGUGACUGGGGCU